rnacentral:rRNA from 1 species
GAUGAACGCUGACAGAAUGCUUAACACAUGCAAGUCAACUUGAACUUCGGUUUGGGUGGCGGACGGGUGAGUAACGCGUAAAGAACUUGCCUCACAGCUAGGGACAACAUUUGGAAACGAAUGCUAAUACCUGAUAUUAUGAUUAUAUGGCAUCGUAUAAUUAUGAAAGCUAUAUGCGCUGUGAGAGAGCUUUGCGUCCCAUUAGCUAGUUGGAGAGGUAACAGCUCACCAAGGCGAUGAUGGGUAGCCGGCCUGAGAGGGUGAUCGGCCACAAGGGGACUGAGACACGGCCCUUACUCCUACGGGAGGCAGCAGUGGGGAAUAUUGGACAAUGGACCGAGAGUCUGAUCCAGCAAUUCUGUGUGCACGAUGAAGUUUUUCGGAAUGUAAAGUGUUUUCAGUUGGGAAGAAAAAAAUGACGGUACCAACAGAAGAAGUGACGGCUAAAUACGUG